AGCACCACUCACCAUGUCCUCAGGCACAACCCAGCUCAGGGCCACGGCCACCACCCUCAUCCUUUGCUGCCUCAUCAUCAUCCUCCCCUGCUUCAUCCUCCCUGGCAUCUGAGGAGAGUCCUUUAGAGUGACAGGUUAAAGAUGACACCAAAAAGCCCCUGUGAGCAGGGUCUCAAUCAAACUCGCCCUUCUGGCUGGUGACUUGCCCACCACCUACUGUGUAUGUCCAGAGGCCUCCAGCAGAUCAUGAUGACACCAUGGACCCAAUAGCUCAUUCACUGCCUUGAUUCCUUUUGCCGACAAUUUUACCAGUGGUUAUUCCUAACAUAUUAUGCAAUUUUCUCUUGGUGCUACCUGAUGGAAUUUUUGCACUUAAAGUUCUGGCUGACUAAACAAGAUAUGUCAACAUUUUUUUUUCUUCUGCUUUUGUUUGGAAAAUCAAGUACUUCUUUGAAUGAUGAUCUCUUUCUUGCAAAUGAUAUUGUCAGUAAAACAAUCAUGUUAGACUUCGGACCUCCAGGGAUUCCUCCCAUGUUUUGAAAGAAAAAUGUUUAAUUAUUUAAUAACAAAAAAUUUUAUAUUAAUGAUAGUUUCCUUUAGUAAUUUAUUGCUCUGUAUUGGUAUUGAAAUAAAAAGUUAUAUUUCCCAAAAA